AGUGAACGCUGGCGGUAGGCCUAACACAUGCAAGUCGAACGGCAGCACAGUAAGAGCUUGCUCUUACGGGUGGCGAGUGGCGGACGGGUGAGGAAUACAUCGGAAUCUACUUUUUCGUGGGGGAUAACGUAGGGAAACUUACGCUAAUACCGCAUACGACCUACGGGUGAAAGCAGGGGAUCUUCGGACCUUGCGCGAUUGAAUGAGCCGAUGUCGGAUUAGCUAGUUGGCGGGGUAAAGGCCCACCAAGGCGACGAUCCGUAGCUGGUCUGAGAGGAUGAUCAGCCACACUGGAACUGAGACACGGUCCAGACUCCUAAGGGAGGCAGCAGUGGGGAAUAUUGGACAAUGGGCGCAAGCCUGAUCCAGCCAUACCGCGUGGGUGGAGAAGGCCUUCGGGUUGUAAAGCCCUUUUGUUGGGAAAGAAAAGCAGCAGGUUAAUACCCCGCUGUUCUGACGGUACCCAAAGAAUAAGCACCGGCUAACUUCGUG
rnacentral:rRNA from 1 species